rnacentral:rRNA from 1 species
AGUGAACGCUGGCGGUAGGCCUAACACAUGCAAGUCUAACGGCAGCACAGUAAUAGCUUGCUCUUACGGGUGGCGAGUGGCGGACGGGUGAGGAAUACAUCGGAAUCUACUUUUUCGUGGGGGAUAACGUAGGGAAACUUACGCUAAUACCGCAUACGACCUACGGGUGAAAGCAGGGGAUCUUCUGACCUUGCGCGAUUGAAUGAGCCGAUGUCGGAUUAGCUAGUUGGCGGGGUAAAGGCCCACCAAGGCGACGAUCCGUAGCUGGUCUGAGAGGAUGAUCAGCCACACUGGAACUGAGAAACGGUCCAGACACCUACGGGAGGCAGCAGUGGGGAAUAUUGGACAAUGGGCGCAAGCCUGAUCCAGCCAUACCGCGUGGGUGAAGAAGGCAUUCGGGUUGUAAAGCCCUUUUGUUGGGAAAGAAAAGCAGCAGGUUAAUACCCCGCUGUUCUGACGGUACCCAAAGAAUAAGCACCGGCUAACUUCGUG